ACUAUCGUUAACUGAAUACAUAGGUUAACGAGGCGAACCGGGGGAACUGAAACAUCUAAGUACCCCGAGGAAAAGAAAUCAACCGAGAUUCCCCCAGUAGCGGCGAGCGAACGGGGAGCAGCCCAGAGUCUGAAUCAGCUUGUGUGUUAGUGGAACGGUCUGGAAAGUCCGACGGUACAGGGUGAUAGUCCCGUACACCAAAAUGCACAGGCUGUGAACUCGAAGAGUAGGGCGGGACACGUGGUAUCCUGUCUGAAUAUGGGGGGACCAUCCUCCAAGGCUAAAUACUCCUGACUGACCGAUAGUGAACCAGUACCGUGAGGGAAAGGCGAAAAGAACCCCGGCGAGGGGAGUGAAAAAGAACCUGAAACCGUGUACGUACAAGCAGUGGGAGCACCUUCGGGUGUGACUGCGUACCUUUUGUAUAAUGGGUCAGCGACUUAUAUUCUGUAGCAAGGUUAACCGUAUAGGGGAGCCGCAGGGAAACCGAGUCUUAACUGGGCGUUAAGUUGCAGGGUAUAGACCCGAAACCCGGUGAUCUAGCCAUGGGCAGGUUGAAGGUUGGGUAACACUAACUGGAGGACCGAACCGACUAAUGUUGAAAAAUUAGCGGAUGACUUGUGGCUGGGGGUGAAAGGCCAAUCAAACCGGGAGAUAGCUGGUUCUCCCCGAAAGCUAUUUAGGUAGCGCCUCGUGAAUUCAUCUUCGGGGGUAGAGCACUGUUUCGGCUAGGGGGUCAUCCCGACUUACCAACCCGAUGCAAACUACGAAUACCGAAGAAUGUUAUCACGGGAGACACACGGCGGGUGCUAACGUCCGUCGUGAAGAGGGAAACAACCCAGACCGCCAGCUAAGGUCCCAAAGUCAUGGUUAAGUGGGAAACGAUGUGGGAAGGCACAGACAGCCAGGAUGUUGGCUUAGAAGCAGCCAUCAUUUAAAGAAAGCGUAAUAGCUCACUGGUCGAGUCGGCCUGCGCGGAAGAUGUAACGGGGCUAAACCAUGCACCGAAGCUGCGGCAGCGACACUAUGUGUUGUUGGGUAGGGGAGCGUUCUGUAAGCCUGCGAAGGUGACCUGUGAGGGUUGCUGGAGGUAUCAGAAGUGCGAAUGCUGACAUAAGUAACGAUAAAGCGGGUGAAAAGCCCGCUCGCCGGAAGACCAAGGGUUCCUGUCCAACGUUAAUCGGGGCAGGGUGAGUCGACCCCUAAGGCGAGGCCGAAAGGCGUAGUCGAUGGGAAACAGGUUAAUAUUCCUGUACUUGGUGUUACUGCGAAGGGGGGACGGAGAAGGCUAUGUUAGCCGGGCGACGGUUGUCCCGGUUUAAGCAUGUAGGCUGGUUGUCCAGGCAAAUCCGGAUAAUCAAGGCUGAGGUGUGAUGACGAGGCACUACGGUGCUGAAGUAACAAAUGCCCUGCUUCCAGGAAAAGCCUCUAAGCAUCAGGUAACAUCAAAUCGUACCCCAAACCGACACAGGUGGUCAGGUAGAGAAUACCAAGGCGCUUGAGAGAACUCGGGUGAAGGAACUAGGCAAAAUGGUGCCGUAACUUCGGGAGAAGGCACGCUGGUGUGUAGGUGAAGUCCCUGCGGAUGGAGCUGAGACCAGUCGAAGAUACCAGCUGGCUGCAACUGUUUAUUAAAAACACAGCACUGUGCAAACACGAAAGUGGACGUAUACGGUGUGACGCCUGCCCGGUGCCGGAAGGUUAAUUGAUGGGGUUAUCCGUAAGGAGAAGCUCUUGAUCGAAGCCCCGGUAAACGGCGGCCGUAACUAUAACGGUCCUAAGGUAGCGAAAUUCCUUGUCGGGUAAGUUCCGACCUGCACGAAUGGCGUAAUGAUGGCCAGGCUGUCUCCACCCGAGACUCAGUGAAAUUGAACUCGCUGUGAAGAUGCAGUGUACCCGCGGCAAGACGGAAAGACCCCGUGAACCUUUACUAUAGCUUGACACUGAACAUUGAGCCUUGAUGUGUAGGAUAGGUGGGAGGCUUUGAAGCGUGGACGCCAGUCUGCGUGGAGCCAACCUUGAAAUACCACCCUUUAAUGUUUGAUGUUCUAACGUUGGCCCCUUAUCGGGGUUGCGGACAGUGUCUGGUGGGUAGUUUGACUGGGGCGGUCUCCUCCCAAAGCGUAACGGAGGAGCACGAAGGUUAGCUAAUCCUGGUCGGACAUCAGGAGGUUAGUGCAAUGGCAUAAGCUAGCUUGACUGCGAGCGUGACGGCGCGAGCAGGUGCGAAAGCAGGUCAUAGUGAUCCGGUGGUUCUGAAUGGAAGGGCCAUCGCUCAACGGAUAAAAGGUACUCCGGGGAUAACAGGCUGAUACCGCCCAAGAGUUCAUAUCGACGGCGGUGUUUGGCACCUCGAUGUCGGCUCAUCACAUCCUGGGGCUGAAGUAGGUCCCAAGGGUAUGGCUGUUCGCCAUUUAAAGUGGUACGCGAGCUGGGUUUAGAACGUCGUGAGACAGUUCGGUCCCUAUCUGCCGUGGGCGCUGGAGAAUUGAGGGGGGCUGCUCCUAGUACGAGAGGACCGGAGUGGACGCAUCACUGGUGUUCGGGUUGUCAUGCCAAUGGCACUGCCCGGUAGCUAAAUGCGGAAGAGAUAAGUGCUGAAAGCAUCUAAGCACGAAACUUGCCCCGAGAUGAGUUCUCCCUGAGACUUUAAGUCUCCUGAAGGAACGUUAAAGACGAUGACGUUGAUAGGCCGGGUGUGUAAGCGCAGCGAUGCGUUGAGCUAACCGGUACUAAUGAACCGUGAGGCUUAACC
rnacentral:rRNA from 1 species